UACGUAGGGUGCAAGCGUUGUCCGGAAUUAUUGGGCGUAAAGAGCUCGUAGGCGGUUUGUCGCGUCUGCUGUGAAAACCCGAGGCUCAACCUCGGGCCUGCAGUGGGUACGGGCAGACUAGAGUGCGGUAGGGGAGAUUGGAAUUCCUGGUGUAGCGGUGGAAUGCGCAGAUAUCAGGAGGAACACCGAUGGCGAAGGCAGGUCUCUGGGCAGUUACUGACGCUGAGGAGCGAAAGCAUGGGGAGCGAACAGG
rnacentral:rRNA from 1 species